CACUUGGUGACCCAAUAAAGCGCUCGUCUAGCAUACAAGAGUCCUGGGUUCAAAUCCCAGCCGAGCAC
rnacentral:tRNA from 1 species